AAAUAGCACGUUUAUUUGCAAAGGCACUGAAAUUGGGCCAGCUACAGCUACAGUAAUUAGAGAAACUUAUGUUCGUCUUUCUGAAGGUAAAACAUUAUAUGUUGGUGAUGUUGAAGAGAGUGGGCUCAUUCGAACAGAAUCUCCUGAAGUGAACAGACAAACACCAUUGUAUAGUACCAAAUGGAUUACUAUCAAUGGAA